UAUUCGUUUUUCACAUCAGAU
ensembl:piRNA 21ur-3845 ncRNA